AUGAACGCUGGCGGCGUGCCUCAUCCAUGCCAGUCGAGCGAACAGACGAGGAGCUUGCUCCUCUGACGUUAGCGGCGGACGGGUGAGUAACACGUGGAUAACCUACCUAUAAGACUGGGAUAACUUCGGGAAACCGGAGCUAAUACCGGAUAAUAUAUUGAACCGCAUGGUUCAAUAGUGAAAGACGGUUUUGCUGUCACUUAUAGAUGGAUCCGCGCCGCAUUAGCUAGUUGGUAAGGUAACGGCUUACCAAGGCAACGAUGCGUAGCCGACCUGGGAGGGUGAUCGGCCACACUGGAACUGAGACACGGUCCAGACUCCUACGGGAGGCAGCAGUAGGGAAUCUUCCGCAAUGGGCGAAAGCCUGACGGAGCAACGCCGCGUGAGUGAUGAAGGUCUUCGGAUCGUAAAACUCUGUUAUUAGGGAAGAACAAAUGUGUAAGUAACUAUGCACGUCUUGACGGUACCUAAUCAGAAAGCCACGGCUAACUACGUG
rnacentral:rRNA from 1 species